GGUAUUAUUUUCUCCUGCUAACUUGUCUUGUUGAUUAUUUGGCCAGCCAUAAGAACAUUAAGGAAAAGCGCAGAGUGAGAUUCUCCCUCUUCCCCCGACAGUUUUGGCGUAGUCGGCAGGAUCCACACUGGCUGGCAAGUUGCCUUCUCUGGCUGGAAGACCUGCCUUCUCCCUGGACUACUGCAGAUGAUGAGAUACGGGAACGCCUGACAAAAGCCGGCAAAAAGAUUUAAGGAAAACUUUUUCUCUUUUCUCCUGAGCUAGCUAUGACUUAUAGCAAUUUGGUAAAUAAUACUUUUGUAAGUAAAAUUGAAAUAUUUAUCUUUUUCUCUCUAUCUGAUCCCUCGAAUUUGGAAACUCUUAGUGAGUAUUGUUGUUUUCAUGGCGAUAUAGUUAUUUGCAUAAGUUCAAUAAGAAUCUGUUCUCCUUGUAACAGGACACAAUUGGAAACACUGGUUAUAUUACCAAGGUUAUGACUGGAACAUCAUAUUUGCGAUAUAACCAUACAGCUUUUGAGGAAUGAAGAUUGGACUUUAUGGAAUAAAGCCACGUGGAAAUAUUGGCCUGGUACCUUGUGUUCCAAGCAGCACUUACCAGGAUAAGUAAAGAAUGUCACUUAUCUGGCAGGUACAAGGAACCUUGAAAUAUUUGGGGGGAACCUCGGAGGAGAGGAAUUCACCCAAAUCUGUAGGUAUUGCAGGUGAAGUCUGAUGACAAAAUCCUUGGCUUGGCUUUCCUGGCCUCGAGAGGCCUUUAAAGUUUAAUUUGAGAUUCCUUAUAAAAAGUUCCAGCAAAGCAGAUUUAAAAGAGCCUAUGUGAUCAAUUGCUAUUCUUGCUGUACUUAUGUAAAUAAUUGGGCCAACUCUAUUGGAACUAGACUUAUUUUGCAAACUAGUUAGUUUUAAUUUGGCCAUCUUAAUAAAAAUGAGGGUGAUUUUAGAGAGAAAAAAUUAUAUUUCAGUAAAAACUAUUUCAGUAUAAAUUUGCGGAUAUUAGAUCCUAGUUUUAUUAAUUGUCUUUUGAGGUUUUUGUUUUAUAUCUGUUGAAUGGACUGGAUCCUGAUUUCUUCUAGUCUCCCAAAAUAUCUGGCUACACAUCUCCAAACUAAAGUUUUUGAUUUUUUCCAUCAUUUUCAUUUGGAAUCACUGAGAACUGAACCUGCCCUUUGUCCUGAAGCCUUACAAACUGAAGCUGAUGGACUUGAUACAAAUUUAAGAGAUUACCCGAUGACAUCAUCAGAGACAUUUAAACUGCAAAAGAUACUUUGACGCUGACAUCUAAAACCUUAACUGGCUGUCCUCUAAACUCAGAAACUGCUUUACAACUUGCUCCAACCAUUAACCUUGUUUUUCUUUUGUUUACAUAGAAAUGCUUCUAUUAAAUACUUGAUUGCUUGCUUCCAUAAUAUAGGCGUAACCUUGAGAGCCCACCUGCAUCACCACCUUCCAAAAGGAACUUAAUUGAACUGAUCUAUCAUCAGGACUAUGAAAUGUGUUCAGUGAGAUGAAACAAUCUACCAACUCAGCUUCUGGACUAUGAAACUUCUUUAAGUUUCAAAAGGACUGUGAAACUUUUAGUUUCAAAGGCGGGACUGUGGGAGAUCAAGAUUUGGCCACCCUGAAAUAUAUCUCUUUACCUUGA